rnacentral:rRNA from 1 species
UACGGAGGGGGGCUAGCGUUGUUCGGAAUUACUGGGCGUAAAGCGCGCGUAGGCGGCUUUGUAAGUUAGAGGUGAAAGCCCGGAGCUCAACUCCGGAAUUGCCUUUAAGACUGCAUCGCUAGAAUCAUGGAGAGGUGAGUGGAAUUCCGAGUGUAGAGGUGAAAUUCGUAGAUAUUCGGAAGAACACCAGUGGCGAAGGCGGCUCACUGGUCCGGUACUGACGCUGAGGUGCGAAAGCGUGGGGAGCAAACAGG